rnacentral:rRNA from 1 species
GACGAACGCUGGCGGCGUGCUUAACACAUGCAAGUCGAACGGAAAGGCCCUUCGGGGUACUCGAGUGGCGAACGGGUGAGUAACACGUGGGUGAUCUGCCCUGCACUUUGGGAUAAGCCUGGGAAACUGGGUCUAAUACCGAAUAUGAUCAUCGGCUUCAUGGUCGGUGGUGGAAAGCUUUUGCGGUGUGGGAUGGGCCCGCGGCCUAUCAGCUUGUUGGUGGGGUAAUGGCCUACCAAGGCGACGACGGGUAGCCGGCCUGAGAGGGUGACCGGCCACACUGGGACUGAGAUACGGCCCAGAAUCCUACGGGAGGCAGCAGUGGGGAAUAUUGCACAAUGGGCGCAAGCCUGAUGCAGCGACGCCGCGUGAGGGAUGACGGCCUUCGGGUUGUAAACCUCUUUCAGCACAGACGAAGCGCAAGUGACGGUAUGUGCAGAAGAAGGACCGGCCAACUACGUG